GAAUUCUCUUUAAGCACUUCAUACGACACAAUUAUUUCAAGGGUUGUUGUGAAGUAUUUGGCGGAACUC
rnacentral:pre_miRNA from 1 species